GGAGAGGUGCGAGAGCGGCCGAAUCGGGCUCCCUGCUAAGGAGUUGUACCCCAAAAGGGUACCGGGGGUUCGAAUCCCCCCUUCUCCG
rfam:Spirochaetes bacterium GWC1_61_12 gwc1_scaffold_7384, whole genome shotgun sequence.